CAGGACGAACGCUGGCGGCGUGCCUAAUACAUAGCAAGUCGAACGGUCUUUCUAUGGAAGCUUGCUUCCACUGAGAAGAUAGUGGCGAACGGGGUGAGUAACACGUGGGUAACCUGCCCAUAAGAGGGGGGAUAACAUCCGGAAACGGGUGCUAAUACCGCAUAGUUUUCUUGAUCGCAUGAUCGGGAAAGGAAAGACGGCCUUUGUGCUGUCGCUUAUGGAUGGACCCGCGGCGUAUUAGUUAGUUGGUGAGGUAACGGCUCACCAAGACGAUGAUACGUAGCCGACCUGAGAGGGUGAUCGGCCACAUUGGGACUGAGACACGGCCCAAACUCCUACGGGAGGCAGCAGUAGGGAAUCUUCCGCAAUGGACGAAAGUCUGACGGAGCAACGCCGCGUGAGUGAAGAAAGGGUUUUCGGAUCGUAAAACUCUGUUGUCAGAGAAGAACAAGUUGGAGAGUAACUGCUCCAGCCUUGACGGUAUCUGACCAGAAAGCCACGGCUAACUACGUGCCAGCAGCCGC
rnacentral:rRNA from 1 species